rnacentral:rRNA from 1 species
UUGGAGGGCAAGUCUGGUGCCAGCAGCCGCGGUAAUUCCAGCUCCAAUAGCGUAUAUUAAAGUUGUUGCAGUUAAAAAGCUCGUAGUUGAACUUCAGGCCUGUCCAGACGGUCCGCCUUAAUUGGUGUGUACUGUCCUUGGGUGGGUCCUACCUUCUGGCGAAGCGGCAUGGCCUUAAUUGGUUGUGUCGGGGAACCAGGACUUUUACUGUGAAAAAAUUAGAGUGUUCAAAGCAGGCAAAUAUGCUCGAAUACAUUAGCAUGGAAUAAUGGAAUAGGACGAUGGUUCUAUUUUGUUGGUUCUAGGACCGUUGUAAUGAUUAAUAGGGAUAGUUGGG